UGCGGGGGGGGCAAGCGUUGUUCGGAAUUACUGGGCGUAAAGGGCUCGUAGGCGGCCAACUAAGUCCGACGUGAAAUCCCAAGGCUUAACCUUGGAACUGCGUCGGAUACUGGAUGGCUUGAAUUCGGGAGAGGGAUGCAGAAUUCCAGGUGUAGCGGUGAAAUGCGUAGAUAUCUGGAGGAAUACCGGUGGCGAAGGCGGCAUCCUGGACCGACAUUGACGCUGAGGAGCGAAAGCUAGGGGAGCAAACGGG
rnacentral:rRNA from 1 species